CACAAGACAACGAACAUUGAAAUCCUCCAAGAGCUGAUUAGAAACUUGCAAAAAAUAAAAAGACGCACUGUUCAAGAAAGCCACUAUCUGAAAUAAAGCAGGCUGUUAACUCUAAAAUGAACUUGAGACCUGACAAAGCAGAAGGAGCAGCGUUUUUCAUGUGGACAAGGCCAGGCCGCCUUUGGUCAGAGAAACCGUAAGAAAUCUCGGAUGAAAUAUUUGCCUGAGGUUCUACAGCUCUUUCAGAUGAUCCAAAGUCAGGAGGGGAGUAACCUGUAGCUCCCCGAAUAGCAUGAAGAAGGCAACUUCUGAUGGACAGACAUUUCCAGAGAGAAUGCCAGCCUCUUCCCUUGCCGAUCUCCUCUCUGUCUGGCUCUUACUCACCACUUAAAGACGAGGUUGAGCCAGUCUCCAAUCACAGCUACCCAGAGGAGUUUAAUGCCCACAGCUUCGCGAAGAUGGAACCAGAUGGGGAAGAGGACAUAGAAGGCAUUCCUGAGGUCUGCAAUCACGGACACCAAGAUGAACCAAUCCUGGGAGUCCUGUGGGAACCCUGGACCACAGAGGGGAGAAGUCAAGGCUGGUCUGUGGAGACUCAUUGCUGUGAGUGACCUGAAAGCCAGCCCCAGCCAUCAGACAUGUGAGUGAGGCCGUCUUAGACCAUCCAGCACCAGUCCAUCUGCUGGAUAUGUGCA